rnacentral:rRNA from 1 species
AACGAACGCUGGCGGCAGGCUUAACACAUGCAAGUCGAGCGUCCCGCAAGGGGCGCGGCAGACGGGUGAGUAACGCGUGGGAACGUACCCUUUACUACGGAAUAGCUCCGGGAAACUGGAAUUAAUACCGUAUGUGCCCUUCGGGGGAAAGAUUUAUCGGUAAAGGAUCGGCCCGCGUUGGAUUAGCUAGUUGGUGGGGUAAAGGCCUACCAAGGCGACGAUCCAUAGCUGGUCUGAGAGGAUGAUCAGCCACAUUGGGACUGAGACACGGCCCAAACUCCUACGGGAGGCAGCAGUGGGGAAUAUUGGACAAUGGGCGCAAGCCUGAUCCAGCCAUGCCGCGUGAGUGAUGAAGGCCUUAGGGUUGUAAAGCUCUUUCACCGAUGAAGAUAAUGACGGUAGUCGGAGAAGAAGCCCCGGCUAACUUCGUGCCAGCCGCCGCAGUAAGAC